CUCACCUGGGUGUUCGGUAUCUUCGCAGUCAACAAGGACACGCUCGUCUUCCAGUACUUGUUUGCCAUCUUCAACAGUCUGCAGGGGUUCCUGAUAUUUCUGGUACAAUGCGUGUUUGACAGAAAAGUACGCGACGCUCUCCGCCAGAGGAAGUUACCAUGGUUCACAUCUACCGACGUUCAUACCGGAGACACAGAGAUGAGGUCUACACAGAAAUCUACUUAACACAGUGUCAGUGUGUCCACAUAGAAGCGAGAGUCAAUACAAAGUACAAGGCGGCUCUACUCAUAUGAUUGAUUUCAUAAGUGUUGUAUUCGUGAUCAUUGGGCUGUAUCAUAGUGGCGAACCUUAUUCAAUUAUGCAUGACCGCUUUUAAUAUAAUUGUUUGUAUUAUGGUGAGAUGUAUUUAUGGAGUUUGAACAGUUUGAAAAGUAGUGAAUAUUUAGUGCAAA